GCUCCAGUGGUCUAGUGGUUAGAGCGUCCGCCUCGGAUGCAGAAGGUCGUGGUUUCGAAACCCAGCCGAGUCA